rnacentral:lncRNA from 1 species
UCCUUCAACUUUUGUUCCCAAAUUCUUCCAUUCCGCCUCGUCCAACCAGUUCACACUAUGGCUUUGGGAAUAUUUUCCUUUAACCAUCUAAUUUUAGUAGUUGGAGAAUCAAUGAGACCCUUUCCCAACGCUUCUUUUAUACUCACAGGGAACACCCAACGCUUGUUGAAGAAAGACAACAAUACCUCACAUAAUGCUUCGGCGAGCGGUCAAGUUAAUAGUAAAUACUCCAUCUCUUCCUCUCUCUCAUUGAACACGAAACACAAAUGAAAAAAGAAAAACUCUGUCAGUCUAUGUGAAAUUGCUCUAUUCCAAAUACUACUCAACAGCUAAGUAAGCUGACAUGUCUAAUGGAAUGGAAGCUUUUAGGUUCAAGUCCAGCUUAUCUACCAUCCAAAAUCAUCUAGAAUGAGGACAUAUAACAAAAUUACAUCAACCUUUGAAAAUUAGUUUUUGGAGAAUUAUUGAAUUACAGUAUGGCCUAAUUUAAUCAUUAUCCAUAAACAAGAAUAAAACAGAUGAAAUCAAGGAAACAAACCAAAAAAGGGGAGAAAAGUCAAAUCUUGGAGUAAUGAUGAGGACAUAGAAUUUUUUUAUAAAGGUAUAUUUAGACAUCAUAUACUAAAGAGAUGAAUUACACCAACUAAAUGAACUCCGUAGAGAUGUCUCAGAUUAGCAUAUUGGCACAUUUGUCCUAGCCAGCCACAAGCCGAGGUUCAAACUACCCCAGUGCGCAUAUCUUGUGGAGACUCAUGCUUCAGUUUUUCAUCACUGACUAUCAUACGGAGAAUUGCAGAAAAAAAAUAUUAUAUUCAAUUCAAAAUGAGAUUACUUUAGAAUUUGCCUUUGUAGGGUUCCUUCCAUCUAAUUGCCUAGUGAUGAAUGUCUCUUCCAGUCAUACUUGUAAAUAUCCUUCCUUGUUUCAGGAAAAAAUGGAAUAUCACUAAGAUCAUUAAUGAAAUAACAUGAAGUUUUUUUCCGCUAUACACAAUGUUUAACACAAGAAGGCAAAAACAAAUAAAAAAAACAAGAGGAGGCACAACAACAAAGCAAGAUAAGUAAAAUGGAAAGACACCCUUUUUCUCAUUCGAGUGCAGACUAAACAAGGAUUAUAAUCGUAAUAUUUUCUUUCAUUACAGUUUCUACAAUAAGAAAUGAGAUACAGUCAUACAGCUAUCUCUUAGUUGCAACAACCUUCUCUCCGCAAAUGUAAAGUUGGUAGUAAUUUAAGUCAAUGUUGUACCCAUGUGGACAAUUAUUUGGUUUUUAUUAAUUUUCUCAGUGAACUUGAUUUACGAAUAUGUUUUAUUUAUACAGUUAUUAGCCACAACAUGAACAGGGAGGGCUAAUAGAAAUCUUUUUUUCUGUGAGACUGGAUAUUGAGUUGAAUAUGAACAGGAAGACAACUUCAGAACUAAAAUGAUUCUUGUCUAAGGUUCAUCUUCUAUAAGCAAGAGAAGAAAGCGAACAUUUAGACAGGACAAGCCUAUAUCCCAUACAUUGGAAAUUGAAGGCAAUCCUCAUUCAAUUUAUUAACUUUUCUAAUAGAUUGGUUCAUUUUGAUGCACUUCUGACAGAUAUAAGUACUGUACAGGUUUUAGAAUCUAUUGAUCAUCAUGGCACCAAGGCAGAGCCUUUAUUGCUAACAGGAUUGUAUACAGUAGCUUAACUGAAACAGAAACACUCCACAUUAUGGAUUACUGGAAGAACUGAUACUUAGAUUGGAACUCCAAGUAAUGAACAAGAACUUAAACAGGGGAGGACUGUGCUCUGAUCUCAGCUGCAGCACAGACAUACAUAAAAAUUCAUUUAUCUCAAAGUACCAUAUCGGGAAGGGCUAAAAGAAAGUAUGAUAAUUGAUAAACAACUUGUUUUUUUCUAUUUUUUUUAUUCUUUUAAAAAAAUUAAUGUCAAAGUAAACAUUUAUUGGAAAUCGACGACUUGAAGACAUAACUGGGCAAUUCGGACCAUAUUAUAUAUGAACUCAUUUUUCCAAAGUCACCUGAGUUCCUAGACCCUACUACACUUGAGAAGUUGGUUUCCUCUGGUUUCAUAACCAGGACUGUCUCUGACCUUCUCUACCACAAAAUAUAAAACCAGUUUCUAUGAUAUCCUUAUUAGUUACUACUAUCAGAGGGAAGGACAUAAGCGUUAUCAUAUUUGUACAUUACAACCUUCAUUGCCGUAUUGAUAUAGCUAACAAAGAGUUUCAAUUAACAUCCUUCAACAACUUACACAUUAUCUCAUAAUAUUCAUAAUAUAUGUGCAUUCAAAUCCAUAUGCAUUAGAAAACUCAUGGAGUACUAAACAAAGAUCCUCGGCAAUGUCAAAACAAAAGAUAUACUAGCUUUUACCUCUUAUACAGUUCUUUUCUCCCAUUGUGUACCUAGCAAGAGUUCAGUUCCAACAAUUUUAUCACUUGAUGGGGUUUCCACCACUGAGGAACUGUUUUCAUUCAUUAAUC